AUGAACGCUGGCGGCGUGCCUAAUACAUGCAAGUCGAACGAGUUCUGAUUAUUGAAAGGUGCUUGCAUCUUGAUUUAAUUUUGAACGAGUGGCGGACGGGUGAGUAACACGUGGGUAACCUGCCCUUAAGUGGGGGAUAACAUUUGGAAACAGAUGCUAAUACCGCAUAAAUCCAAGAACCGCAUGGUUCUUGGCUGAAAGAUGGCGUAAGCUAUCGCUUUUGGAUGGACCCGCGGCGUAUUAGCUAGUUGGUGAGGUAACGGCUCACCAAGGCAAUGAUACGUAGCCGAACUGAGAGGUUGAUCGGCCACAUUGGGACUGAGACACGGCCCAAACUCCUACGGGAGGCAGCAGUAGGGAAUCUUCCACAAUGGACGCAAGUCUGAUGGAGCAACGCCGCGUGAGUGAAGAAGGCUUUCGGGUCGUAAAACUCUGUUGUUGGAGAAGAAUGGUCGGCAGAGUAACUGUUGUCGGCGUGACGGUAUCCAACCAGAAAGCCACGGCUAACUACGUGCCAGCAGCCGCGGUAAUACGUAGGUGGCAAGCGUUAUCCGGAUUUAUUGGGCGUAAAGCGAGCGCAGGCGGCUUUUUAAGUCUGAUGUGAAAGCCCUCGGCUUAACCGAGGAAGUGCAUCGGAAACUGGGAAACUUGAGUGCAGAAGAGGACAGUGGAACUCCAUGUGUAGCGGUGAAAUGCGUAGAUAUAUGGAAGAACACCAGUGGCGAAGGCGGCUGUCUGGUCUGUAACUGACGCUGAGGCUCGAAAGCAUGGGUAGCGAACAGGAUUAGAUACCCUGGUAGUCCAUGCCGUAAACGAUGAAUGCUAGGUGUUGGAGGGUUUCCGCCCUUCAGUGCCGCAGCUAACGCAUUAAGCAUUCCGCCUGGGGAGUACGACCGCAAGGUUGAAACUCAAAGGAAUUGACGGGGGCCCGCACAAGCGGUGGAGCAUGUGGUUUAAUUCGAAGCAACGCGAAGAACCUUACCAGGUCUUGACAUCUUUUGAUCACCUGAGAGAUCAGGUUUCCCCUUCGGGGGCAAAAUGACAGGUGGUGCAUGGUUGUCGUCAGCUCGUGUCGUGAGAUGUUGGGUUAAGUCCCGCAACGAGCGCAACCCUUAUGACUAGUUGCCAGCAUUUAGUUGGGCACUCUAGUAAGACUGCCGGUGACAAACCGGAGGAAGGUGGGGAUGACGUCAAAUCAUCAUGCCCCUUAUGACCUGGGCUACACACGUGCUACAAUGGAUGGUACAACGAGUUGCGAGACCGCGAGGUCAAGCUAAUCUCUUAAAGCCAUUCUCAGUUCGGACUGUAGGCUGCAACUCGCCUACACGAAGUCGGAAUCGCUAGUAAUCGCGGAUCAGCACGCCGCGGUGAAUACGUUCCCGGGCCUUGUACACACCGCCCGUCACACCAUGAGAGUUUGUAACACCCGAAGCCGGUGGCGUAACCCUUUUAGGGAGCGAGCCGUCUAAGGUGGGACAAAUGAUUAGGGUG
rnacentral:rRNA from 1 species